UGAAUACCCUCUUCGUUCGAAAAUACUUAUCAUCAAAAUGGACAAAAAAGAAUGUAUCUAGAACUAAAAUACAUCUAGAUACAUCUCCUUUAUUCAUUUUGAUGACAAGUAUUUCCGGACGGAGGAAGUAGAUC
rfam:Triticum urartu cultivar G1812 contig582481, whole genome shotgun sequence.